rnacentral:rRNA from 1 species
UACGUAGGGUGCAAGCGUUAAUCGGAAUUACUGGGCGUAAAGCGUGCGCAGGCGGUUAUGUAAGACAGAUGUGAAAUGCCCGGGCUUAACCUGGGAACUGCAUUUGUGACUGCAAGGCUAGAAUCUGGCAGAGGGGGGUAGAAUUCCACGUGUAGCAGUGAAAUGCGUAGAGAUGUGGAGGAACACCGAUGGCGAAGGCAGCCCCCUGGGUCAAGAUUGACGCUCAUGCACGAAAGCGUGGGGAGCAAACAGG